UCGAUUGAAUGGUCAAAGACCCAUGCGCACGCACACGCACGCGAAUACACCCAGACACCACACAUUUAUGCCAGCACGUAUCGGAUUCGUGCAGGGGGUCGGCAAGAAGCAUGAGCGAAGCGGGAAAGAAAACAAGCGAAAGGCAAUAAAGAGUGAUUCUCUUGGGAGCUUGUUCUACCUGCCCCAUGAUCUGCUGCUGCUCCUCGUAAUUGUGUAACUCCUUCUUCUCCCUCUUCCAGCCCCCUCCUUUUUCUUUGCUCGCUUGCCAUUGCACGCAAGUGCGCGGGCGCGCGUCUGCCUCAGCUGCGUGGGUGCCUGUUAUGUCUGCACGUUAUUUGUGCCCACGUAUUUAAGUGCAUAUGCGACUUUAUUAUUUUGUGUUUUGUUGGUAUGUCGCGCGUGCCGGCUGCGUCGACCACCGCUUGCACUCUUUCUCUUCUUUUUCCUCUGUCUUGCUUCGCACACGGCUGCCUCCCUUCUUUUGCGUUUCCGUUGCUCGCGCGUGCGCGGCUGUUGUGAGGCGUGUCGCUGUGUUGUUAUCGAAGGCCAGGGGAUACGUGUGCAUGUGCGCGCACGCAGAUGCAAUCCGUCGACCACCCACACACAGACGGCACGGAGCAACGAGAGGCGCUGGAAAAGGAGGGAAAACGGAGAAGAAACACGCAGUCGCCCUUCUCGUCACAGACCUUCAAACACACAGAGAGAGAAAGAGAUGGAGCGUGAGGACUUGAGAGCAAUGGGUUGUAGGCACUUACGCAUACGCACACGCAAGUGCACAGCGACGAAAAGGCUCGGCUUCCACCGUGUGAUCGACGUACCCCGCGUGAGUGUUUCUUCUUCUCAUGGACUUUGUCUCCCUCUCGCUCUCGCUCCCGCUCCCUCAAUCCUACCUCGCUGCCAUACAACUUUCUGUUUUUUUUUUUUUCAACGAUGUUCUUUCUCAUUUCUUCUCUGCAACGGUGCGCUUGUUAG
rnacentral:misc_RNA from 1 species